AGCCUGCAGUCAGCAGCCCUCUGUGCAGGCAGCUGGAGAACCUCAGUGCUGUGGAGGACAGAGCAGGCGAGCUGAUCACAGAAGCAUCCUGCCUGGCUGAAGGCCACAGUCCGGAGGGAGAGCGAUGAAGACACUGACUGGACCUUUGUUCCUGUGCUUCUGGCUGCAGUUGAGCUGUGUGAGCAGAGGCGAGCAGGUGGAGCAGCGCCCUUCUCACCUGAGUGUCCGGGAGGGAGACAGCGCUGUCAUUAUCUGCACCUACACCGACCCUAACAAUUAUUACUUCUUCUGGUAUAAACAAGAGUCGGGAGAAGGUCUCCAGUUGCUUACGAGUGUUCUUCCAAAUGUGGACAGAAAAGAACCAGGACUCACUGUCCUACUGAACAAAACAGACAAACAUCUCUCUCUGAACAUCACGGCUGCCCAUCUUGGGGAUUCAGCUGUCUACUUCUGCGCAGUCAGUGCACAGUGCUCCCCGGGCACCUGCUGCCUGCACACAAACCUGAGCCCACAAAGACAGAUAUUUCUCUACCUUUAAGAUGAAGAUAUUUCUGUAUUGUAUUAACAGUGGGAAAAUUUUAAACAUCCUGAAAUUCUGUUUCCAAAAGAUACAAUAAGAUUUAGAAUAUUUUAGAUUAAGUAUAGAUGAAAGUGAAUUCUUAGGUAUAGAGGAUCUAGAAUCAAACAUCAGGAUCCAUUUAGAUUCACUUCCCCCUCCAAAAGAACACAGUGUCACUAACAGAGAAUACUCUACUCAUCUUGAUGGAAAGACUCUUAAUUUUUAUAACUAUUUAUUGUAUCUUUUAGAAA